UGGGUGUGAAGAGAGCAGAGGGCCUGAAAAGUGGCUCCUCUGUGUAUAUAUAACACAUCCAAAAUCAACUUGGGCUUACUCUUGACAGGUGGCAUGAUACUGUGGCCUUCCUGUAACAUUGUGCCCUAUAAAA